GAAGUGUGGCGCGCGCUCACAGAGGCUUUCUCGGCAAACAGUGACGUUUACCUGCCACACACACACACACACUCUCACGCUCACACAUCUCUCUCUCUCUCUCGCUCACAGACUCAAACAUACACACGCAGAGAGGUCCCGGUAGCAGAAGCACCCAGUUGCCCCAGUUUCAAUAAAGGUCCAGACUGUAUCUGGGCCAACGCCUGUCGAGGCUCUCAGCUUCACGCCUGCUGCAGCAGCAGGCAGGGGACACAGGAGGGUGACAAAUUGGUUUGUUGCAUCAUCCAGCCACCUCACCAGGGCAGCUGAUCCUAUAAAACUGUGGCUUCUUCCAUGGCAUCCACCCACCUGUAUGAGGAGUACAUUUUUAAAUUAGAAACAUACAGAAUAAUCUAAAGUUGUGCCAAAAGAUUACGUUUGGUCUCCAACCCCAAAUAUAUUGAUUUGCAUGCCCAUCAGCAAGACAGAUAGCAACAUAAAAGUCUAAGCUCAUUUCAAUAAUUAAGUGUACAUUUUGGUCCAUCAGAGAUGUGUACCUAAUUAAAUACAUAGACUUAAACAUUUUGUUUUUUGGUUGUUUCUUCCCAGAUAGUCACAAUAUAUCUGCAGCAACCAUGGCUAAGAUGUAGGAUAAUCAUGAUGAGUAUUUUACCCUUUGUAAACUAUCCAGCCAUAAAUACUACAGCUACAGGCACUAUGUUUCCUUGUUGUCUCAAACCCCAGUAAGACUUACAUCCCUCUUUUGUUAAUCUUCAAACAUUUCAAUAUCAGUUAUUAAAUGUCCAUAUGUCUCACCUCUGGGCUGUGUAGUUGUCUGAUGCUUUA